GGCCAAAACCUCUAGCCCAGCCACACACUACACCAUAAACACCUCAAACCUACUAACUAUUACCACCACAACCAAAACAUUUCUUCUAACUUAGUAUAGGCGAUAGAAAAGAUACUUGGCGCGAUAGAAAUUUCCUCGUACCGUAAGGGAAAGAUGAAAUAACAAUGAAAAACAAAGCCACAAGCAGCAAAGAUAAACCCUUGUACCUUUUGCAUCAUGGUUUAGCAAGAACAACCAAGCAAAGCGAACUGAAGCUUGCCAUCCCGAAACCUAAGCGAGCUACUCACAAGCAGCUACCCUGAGCAAACCCGUCUCUGUUGCAAAAGAGUGGGAUGACUUGUUAGUAGAGGUGAAAAGCCAACCGAGCUAGGUGAUAGCUGGUUACCUGUAAAACGAAUCUAAGUUCAUUCUUAACCUCCUCACACAAGAACCACAAACCCAAGCUACCUUGUAGCAGGUCAAGAACAAUUUAAAGGGAGGUACAGCUCCUUUAAAAAGAAUACAAUCUCCCCCAGCGGAUAAUCAACAAUCAUAACUAAUCCUGUAGGCCUUUAAGCAGCCAUCAAUAAAGAGUGCGUCAAAGCUCACCAUAAAAAAAUCCAAAAAUAACAUGACUCCCUCACCCCUAACAGGUGAACCUAUGACAAUAGGAGAAUAAAUGCUAAAAUAAGUAACUAGGGCAUGCCCUCUUAAGCGCAAGCUUACAUCACCAUUAUUAACAGACCAGACUAAUAACCACAAACUCAACAAGAGCCAAAUAUUCAACCCCCUGUUAACCCAACCCAGGAGCGCUAAACUAGAAAGAUUAAAACCUGUAAAAGGAACUAGGCAAAUAGCCAAGGCCCGACUGUUUACCAAAAACAUAGCCUUCAGCCCAUCAAGUAUUGAAGGUGAUGCCUGCCCAGUGACACCACGUUCAACGGCCGCGGUAUCCUAACCGUGCGAAGGUAGCGCAAUCAAUUGUCCCAUAAAUCGAGACUUGUAUGAACGGCUAAACGAGGCCUUAACUGUCUCUUACAGGUAAUCAGUGAAAUUGAUCUUCCUGUGCAAAAGCAGGAAUAGACGCACAAGACGAGAAGACCCUGUGGAACUUAAAAAUCAGCGGCCACCGUACAUCCAAAAUACUAAGCCCACUUGGCCUCUACCAUCCCCUCAAGCUCAGUUGGCCCGCAUUUUUCGGUUGGGGCGACCUUGGAGAAAAACGAACCCUCCAAAAAUAAGACCAUACAUCUUAACCAAGAACAACCCCUCAACGUACUAAUAGUAGUCAGACCCAGUAUAACUGAUCAAUGGACCAAGCUACCCCAGGGAUAACAGCGCAAUCUCCUUCAAGAGCCCCUAUCGACAAGGAGGUUUACGACCUCGAUGUUGGAUCAGGACACCCUAAUGGUGCAGCCGCUAUUAAGGGUUCGUUUGUUCAACGAUUAACAGUCCUACGUGAUCUGAGUUCAGACCGGAGUAAUCCAGGUCGGUUUCUAUCUGUGGUGGACUUUUCCCAGUACGAAAGGACCGGAAAAGUGAGGCCAAUACCAUAGGCACGCCUUACCCCUUAAGUAAUGAAUCCAACUAAAUUCCAAAAGCACCACUAACACACCAGUCCUAAUAAGGCCG
rnacentral:rRNA from 1 species